UACGUAGGAGGCAAGCGUUGUCCGGAUUUACUGGGCGUAAAGCGCACGCAGGCGGUCGCAUCAGUCUGGGGUGACAGUUCCCGGCUUAACCGGAAAAGGACUCUGGAAACUGUGCGACUUGAGGGCUUCAGAGGGUAGUGGAAUUCCCGGUGUAGUGGUGAAAUGCGUAGAUAUCGGGAGGAACACCAGUGGCGAAGGCGACUACCUGGCCCAUUCUUGACGCUGAGGCGCGAAAGCUAGGGGAGCGAACGGG
rnacentral:rRNA from 1 species